CUCACGAUCUCCGGCGUCGCCUCACAUCCCUGUGAUAACAUUCUUCGACUCAACAUCCAUCUUGCUUCAGUCUCGGUUCUGUCCAUCUCAGUCUCUCUCUUUGAACGCGACACGACGACUUCAUCAUCUUCUUUGUGCCAUCUCUUCACCGAUAUCCACCGCAUCUUCAACGUUCUUAGUCUGGCUUCGAUUCCAUCUUCGAUCUAACUCCGAUGCGAGCCUCCGUCUCAUUUAUCCGCGUACUCACGGUGCUUCGGUUUCGAGGUUUGCCACGAUUCUACCUCUCAUAUGGUUCUGA